rnacentral:rRNA from 1 species
GACGAACGCUGGCGGCGUGCUUAACACAUGCAAGUCGAACGGAAAGGCCCUGCUUUUGUGGGGUGCUCGAGUGGCGAACGGGUGAGUAACACGUGAGUAACCUGCCCUUGACUUUGGGAUAACUUCAGGUAACUGGGGCUAAUACCGUAUAGGAGCUCCUGCUGCAUGGUGGGGGUUGGAAAUUUUCGGCGGUUGGGGAUGGACUCGCGGCUUAUCAGCUUGUUGGUGGGGUAGUGGCUUACCAAGGCUUUGACGGGUAGCCGGCUUGAGAGGGUGACCGGCCACAUUGGGACUGAGAUACGGCCCAGACUCCUACGGGAGGCAGCAGUGGGGAAUAUUGCACAAUGGGCGGAAGCCUGAUGCAGCAACGCCGCGUGCGGGAUGACGGCCUUCGGGUUGUAAACCGCUUUCGCCUGUGACGAAGCGUGAGUGACGGUAAUGGGUAAAGAAGCACCGGCUAACUACGUG